rnacentral:lncRNA from 1 species
UCAUUAAAAAAUUAAUUUUUUAAUCAACAUUUUUAUUAAAAAGAAAAAAAACAAUUUCACUCUAUUUAAAAAGUUGACAGAAAAAUUUAAUAAAAAAAAGAAUUGUACAGGCCAUUUUGGCCCCAAACCCACUUUCUAAUCCCUAAAACCCAAACUAAACCAAACCAACUAACCCCUAGCCCAAACAAAUCAAAGCCCCAACCCAAACACAAAACAAAAAUCAGAAAAAGAAACCUAAAAACCCUAGCCGCCUUUGACCCUUGUCCCAUCCACCACCGACGUCUGCUCCAUCGCCCUUGUCACGUCCACCGCCCAUUUUCCUGCAAGAGAAACAGAACAAGAAGCAAGUUGUAAACGCCUAUAAAAGGCUGAAUCCAUUACCAUUUGUAACAUUCGGCAUUGGUGAAAUAAGAACAACAUUUUGGUUUUAAAUACAGAACACAAAAACAGAUCCGAAGAUAAGCAUAAAGUCGCAGCGAAAAAACAGAGAAGGCAGUCCAAAGAUUUCGAGCCGAAGGUUUAUCCAUCUUCUUUUUAUUUUUCCUUAUUUCGGACCCAUUCAUACAUAUCUUUCUCUAUUUUAUAUUUUAAAAAACAGCAUACACGAAUAUAUAAAAAAAUAAAAAAAUAUACCCUUUUUUGGAUUUCCGGCCACCGGGCGUGGCAGAUAGGGACGAUCCGGUGACCGGACCAGAGGGGAAGGAGAGAGGGCCAAAGGAUGCUCUCAGGUUUUUUGAAGAAAAUAGAAGGAAAAUGAAGUUUUUUGCAAAAAC